UACGUAGGGUGCAGGCGUUAAUCGGAAUUACUGGGCGUAAAGCGUGCGCAGGCGGUCUUUUAAGUCAGAUGUGAAAUCCCCGGGCUUAACCUGGGAACUGCGUUUGAAACUGGAAGGCUAGAGUGUGGCAGAGGGGGGUGGAAUUCCACGUGUAGCAGUGAAAUGCGUAGAGAUGUGGAGGAACACCGAUGGCGAAGGCAGCCCCCUGGGCUAACACUGACGCUCAAGCACGAAAGCGUGGGGAGCAAACAGG
rnacentral:rRNA from 1 species